UUGAGCGCUCUGCGCAUGGGAACGCGCAGCUGAAAUUCGCGGGAUACGUCGUCGAGACGGGACAGCACCAGUGUUCUGGUACGUGAUACAGAGACUCAGAAUCGUGAUAAAGUUUCGGAGUGUAACGUCGAGAAAGGACAAUUAUACGUGUGAAUCAUCGUUCUCUGCGAAGAGCUCGGAAUCGAAGAAUUGCGUCAUUCGUGCUCGAACGAAAUGUAAAUAGAAGAAAGGUCAGGAGCAGCUUAAUUGUGGCGUAUAUUUUCAUUGCCUGGGGCUACGAUUCUUCAUAAUAUAAAUACAAGUCUACAGUACAGAUUCUCCACUCGCUCAAAAAUCGAACAAAGGGAAGAAGAAGAAAAGAAAAGCCUGGUAUCGUCGUGCUUUGGCUGGCAACCCCUCGCGCGUUUCAACGCAUCGAGCGCACGCAGAAGAAAUCGUCCCUUCCUCUUCCGUCCCGCUUCGCCGUCGGUUGGCAAUCGCUCAUUCGGGAUCACGGUUGUUACAAAUUUGGACGAUCUUUUCGACGAUGAGAGGAGGGAAUCGGUUUCUUCUUCUCGUUUGAGAGGGUACAUCAGAGCAGCGGUAUUUGGAGGAAAUUAAUGGAGUAAUUUAAUAGAAGCGAGAUUGAAAGGAAUUAAACGAAUUGGAAAUUUCUCGAGGAUUUCUUACGCCGGAAUUAUUACGCAUUAUUGCGUAACUUUUUAAAAAUGAAAUGAUUUAUUAUUUGUUGGAUUGAUCAAUUUCGCUUCUCGCCGAGAUAGAUGACAGAUUUUCUUGAUGUUAACUAUUAAAUAUCGUUUAUUCCCUAUCAUUCAACUACUAGGGAUAUAUGCUAUUGCAGUUUUUAUUUUAUUUAUUUUAUUUUAUUUAUUUUACUUUUUUUUUUUUUUAUCAAACUUUCUUCGUCGUAUAAUUUAACGGCUGAAUAUUUCGCAAUAAUCUUAUUUGUAAUUUUAUAACUACUAGUUAUUGAUAUCAAAAGAAAAAAAGAGAGAAUCUUCUAAAGAAAAAAAGAAGGAGGAAAAAUGAUAAUAAUAAGAAUCCAGACAAAGAAGAUGAUGUCAAUUAUUGUGACGAAAGAGACAUUUUGAAAUCAAUUAAUCAAAGAUUACGAAUGUUUCUCUGAAAGAAUAAUCCGGAAAAUCAUCCCUGAUACCAUAUCAUUAUGGAUCUUUUCUUCUUGUACAUACAUAUCGAUACAACAUCGUAUAAGUGAUAUUCAAUAAAUCAAGUAUGAAAGAGAAAAGAAGUUAGAAAAUAAUCCAAAUCGAUCGGUAAAAUCCUCUACCAAACAGGAGAAGAAUUCUAAACACUUGUGUGCUACCUGUUGGUGCAUUUCUCCUCUUAAAACCCUUCUGUCUUUUUUCGUUAAUUUACAAUGCAGCACUUGUAUUGCGGAUGACCACAUCCUAGAAGGGAUGCCACAAAAUAUACCAAGAAUCGCUCAUAAAUCUUUCUUUCACCCAUUAUCCUGUGUCCAUUGUAACGAAACAGGAUCGGUUUAAUUUUUCAACGAAGCUCGAAACGAACUCUUUUCUGAGAAUUUCCAUCCAAGAUGGGGAAGAGGAAAAAGGAAAUGGCGGAAGGGGAUGGACAUUUCAAACUAAUAAAAUCGAAAUUCGAACGGGAUUCGAAGAAAUCUUCAGAGAAUGGACAAUGACUCGUACGAUAGCCUACAUUCUAUAAAUAGCAACAAGUACGUAAUCUAAUUGAAUCUUUGACCCUAAUUCGUCUCGUACGUACACUUGGAAUCCUCGAAACGAUUUCGCUUCGAUUUGUCCAAUUAUUCAACAAUUUUUCCAGCGCAAAAUAUUAUUUCUCCAACAAUUUUAAUUAUUAUUAUUAACUUUCACAUCCAAGUGUGUAACCAAGCGUGUUCCAGAUAAAAACCAACGUACUUUGCCAACUUUGCAUCAAUUUCUCAUUCACUGAUGCUAAUUCUUUCCUCUUCUACUCUUCUUCUUCUCUCAGAAUAAUAAAAUCCUCGAAUUUGUUUCAUCCUCCAUGAACCCCAUCGUUCAACGAACCUUCUUCUGUCGGCGGUUGAAGAAGAAAAAAAAAAAAUUGCAAAAUCAUCGAACGCAACGCGUUAACGAGAAACGAACGAACGCGUUGCCCGCGAAACGUUAUAAUUUUAGUGAUGAAUCUCCUCAGAGCGGAGAGGAUGACGCAAUUACGAUCGCGAACGAAGAUCGUUUGAACCACGAUGACGACGCGAGUUUUCGAAUGAUUUAUUAAUCGGCAGCCGGAUGCACGCGGCCGCGUUUCCCGAAUCCCGUGCGAUCGAGUUUCGUGGAAACGAGGGAUUAGCCUGGAAAGGGAAAUCGCAAACGAUCGGAUUUCCCGGCUCGAUGACACUGUAAUCCGCUUGCACGAUGUCCGAGUUUCGCUUCCACUAUGAUUAACCACGUUCAACUGGAUUCGAACCAAGCCGAUUAAUAAUUAAAAUUAAUUAUUUCUUGUGAAUAAAUUAAUGAUGCUUAGAGUUAGAAUGCCUAAAUUAAAUUUAAA